rnacentral:rRNA from 1 species
CCUACGGGAGGCAGCAGUGAGGAAUAUUGGUCAAUGGACGGAAGUCUGAACCAGCCAAGUAGCGUGCAGGAUGACGGCCCUAUGGGUUGUAAACUGCUUUUAUGCGGGGGUAAAGUGAGUGACGUGUCAUUCAUUGCAAGUACCACAAGAAUAAGGACCGGCUAAUUCCGUGCCAGCAGCCGCGGUAAUACGGAAGGUCCUGGUGUUAUCCGGAUUUAUUGGGUUUAAAGGGAGCGUAGGCCGUCAGGCAAGCGUGUUGUGAAAUGUCGUGGCUCAACCAUGGACUUGCAGCGCGAACUGCCCGACUUGAGUGCGCAGAAAGCAGGCGGAAUUUGUGGUGUAGCGGUGAAAUGCUUAGAUAUCACGAAGAACCCCGAUUGCGAAGGCAGCCUGCUGUAGCGCUACUGACGCUGAAGCUCGAAAGUGCGGGUAUCGAACAGGAUUAGAUACCCUGGUAGUCCGCACGGUAAACGAUGGAUGCCCGCUGUUCGGUCUGCGGACCGAGCGGCUAAGUGAAAACGUUAAGCAUCCCACCUGGGGAGUACGCCGGCAACGGUGAAACUCAAAGGAAUUGACGG